AUAAACAUAUUAAUGCUUUAUAAAAAGUUAGAAGCUUUUCUUAAAAUAUUUCUUU
rnacentral:tRNA from 2 species